GCAAGCGUUGUCCGGAAUCAUUGGGCGUAAAGCGCGCGUAGGCGGCCCUGUAAGUCCGUUGUGAAAGUCAAAGGCUCAACCUUUGAAAGCCGAUGGAUACUGCAGGGCUAGAGUCCGGAAGAGGCGAGUGGAAUUCCUGGUGUAGCGGUGGAAUGCGCAGAUAUCAGGAGGAACACCAAUAGCGAAGGCAGCUCGCUGGGACGGUACUGACGCUAAGGCGCGAAAGCGUGGGGAGCGAACAGG
rnacentral:rRNA from 1 species